UACAUGGGGUGCAAACGUUGCUCGGAAUUAUUGGGCGUAAAGCGCACGUAGGCGGUCUGUCGCGUCGGCUGUGAAAACCUGGGGCUCAACCCCAGGCCUGCAGUCGAUACGGGCAGACUAGAGUCCGGCAGGGGAGACUGGAAUUCCUGGUGUAGCGGUGAAAUGCGCAGAUAUCAGGAGGAACACCGGUGGCGAAGGCGGGUCUCUGGGCCUGUACUGACGCUGAGGAGCGAAAGCGUGGGGAGCGAACAGGG
rnacentral:rRNA from 1 species